GACGAACGCUGGCGGCGUGCCUAAUACAUGCAAGUCGAGCGGACGGAUGGGAGCUUGCUCCCAGACCGUCAGCGGCGGACGGGUGAGUAACACGUGGGCAACCUGCCUGUAAGACUGGGAUAACUCCGGGAAACCGGGGCUAAUACCGGAUAACUCUUUCCCUCACAUGAGGGAAAGCUGAAAGAUGGCAUCUCGCUAUCACUUACAGAUGGGCCCGCGGCGCAUUAGCUAGUUGGUGAGGUAACGGCUCACCAAGGCGACGAUGCGUAGCCGACCUGAGAGGGGGACCGGCCACACUGGGACUGAGACACGGCCCAGACUCCUACGGGAGGCAGCAGUAGGGAAUCUUCCGCAAUGGACGAAAGUCUGACGGAGCAACGCCGCGUGAGUGAGGAAGGUUUUCGGAUCGUAAAACUCUGUUGUCAGGGAAGAACAAGUACCGGAGUAACUGCCGGUACCUUGACGGUACCUGACCAGAAAGCCACGGCUACUACGUG
rnacentral:rRNA from 1 species